GAGAAGGUGAGGGGGAAUGGAGAGGGGGCAGCUACCCCCACCUUUCAGCGCCUCCUGGAGCCUCUCGACGUCCAUGGCUUCCCGGAGUCCCUCACAGCCUCCGCCUCCCUCCGCGGGUCUCUUGGGGACCGGAACGCCUCCCCCCACCCCCCCGACGCCCUCCCCCUCCCUCGCACACACUCCGGCACGCAGGCGACCGGGGGGGGGAAACGAAGGGAGCCGGGGGAAGCGUGCGAGAGAGCAAGACCGACAGAGCGAGCACCUCCCCAAGCCGCUACCACCAACCCUCCAACAUGGCGCCCGAUCCCACCUGGUCUUCAGAUAAUCAAGGCUUGUGCCCCUCUGGUUAGCUCCUCCUCUCCAAUGCACUUUGCUACAUUCCUCUGCAAAUUCAGAUCUCUACUUAAACACCACUUCCUCUGGUACACUUUCCACGAUUCCCUUAGGCUGUCAUUGCUGUGUGCACUUUGUCGCCCGUCAUAGACCUUAUCCAGUGUCUGGAAGUCAAGAUUACAAGGGGAGAAGAGGCAAAAGAUGAGGCUGAAAAAAUAACUUCGUUUGGUUCAUUCCUUCCUUCUUCCUUGAAUUCUUCUCCAGCCGGCCUGUAUCACAAUGUCUGCAAUUACUAGAGCCUCCUACUGGCUGGGCAUGGUGGCUCACACCUGUAAUCUCGGUACUCUGGGAAGCCAAGGCUGGAGGAUCACUUGAGACCAGCCCAGCAACAUGUCUCUACAAAAAAUAAAAAAUUACCAGGG
rnacentral:lncRNA from 1 species